rnacentral:rRNA from 1 species
GAGAACACUGUUUCCGCGCCUAAUACAUGCAAGUCUAGCGAGCUGACUAAGAGCUUUUGCCUGCGAGAUGAGAAGCAAACUGGUGACUGACACGGGGUUAACCGGCCUGUAACGCGGGGAUAACUUCGCGAAACCAUGGCUAAUACCGCGUAACACAUGGGACCGCCUGGCACAAGAGUGAAAGACGGUUUUGCUGCUCCACCAAGAGGCCCCCGUUUCUCUUUGGUUGGUUCGGGAGGUAGCGCCUCCCCAAGGCAGGAAUGCGUACCCAACGGGAGGGGGUGAUCGGCCACUUGGGACCUAAACCCCGCCCCAGACCCCUAAGGCAGGCCUCAAUCCGAUUCCUCGGGCAAGGAGGGAAAUCUUACCAAACCACCCCCGCGUGAAUGAUGAAGGUCUCCGGACAGAAAAACUCUGGUUUUAAGCAAAAACACCUGUGUGAUGAACUAUGCACGCUGUGACCGUACCUUAUCAGAUAGGCGACGCUAACUACGUAGCCCCCGCCGGCGAUAUUACUAGGUGCGCGGGCUUAUCCAGAGUUGUGAGGCGCCAGCCCACCUCGGCGGUUAGAUAGUCUGAAGUUAAGGCUGUGGCUUAACCAUAUUACGCUUUGGAAACUGUUUAACUUGAGUGCAAGAGGGGAGAGAGGAAUUCCAUGUGUAGCGGUGAAAUGCGUAGAUAUAUGGAGGAACACCGGUGGCGAAAGCGGCUCUCUGGCUUGUAACUGACGCUGAGGCUCGAAAGCGUGGGGAGCAUACAGGAUUAGAUACCCUGGUAGUCCACGCCGUAAACGAUGAGUGCUAGGUGUUAGACCCUUUCCGGGGUUUAGUGCCGUAGCUAACGCAUUAAGCACUCCGCCUGGGGAGUACGACCGCAAGGUUGAAACUCAAAGGAAUUGACGGGGGCCCGCACAAGCGGUGGAGCAUGUGGUUUAAUUCGAAGCAACGCGAAGAACCUUACCAGGUCUUGACAUCCCUCUGACCGCUCUAGAGAUAGAGUUUUCCUUCGGGACAGAGGUGACAGGUGGUGCAUGGUUGUCGUCAGCUCGUGUCGUGAGAUGUUGGGUUAAGUCCCGCAACGAGCGCAACCCCUAUUGUUAGUUGCCAUCAUUCAGUUGGGCACUCUAGCGAGACUGCCGGUAAUAAACCGGAGGAAGGUGGGGAUGACGUCAAAUCAUCAUGCCCCUUAUGACCUGNGCUACACACGUGCUACAAUGGCUGGUACAACGAGUCGCAAGCCGGUGACGGCAAGCUAAUCUCUUAAAGCCAGUCUCAGUUCGGAUUGUAGGCUGCAACUCGCCUACAUGAAGUCGGAAUCGCUAGUAAUCGCGGAUCAGCACGCCGCGGUGAAUACGUUCCCGGGCCU